rnacentral:tRNA from 1 species
AGAAACUUAGGAUAAUCCACAAACCGAAGGCCUUCAAAGCCUUAAACAAGAGUUAGACCCUCUUAGUUUCUG